rnacentral:miRNA from 10 species
GGAGAAUUGCUUGAACCUGGGAGGUGGAGGUUGCAGUGAGCUGAGAUCACGCCACUGCACUCCAGCCUGGGC